GACGAACGCUGGCGGCGUGCUUAACACAUGCAAGUCGAACGGAAAGGCCCUGCUUUUGUGGGGUGCUCGAGUGGCGAACGGGUGAGUAACACGUGAGUAACCUGCCCUUGACUUUGGGAUAACUUCAGGAAACUGGGGCUAAUACCGGAUAGGAGCUCCUGCUGCAUGGUGGGGGUUGGAAAGUUUCGGCGGUUGGGGAUGGACUCGCGGCUUAUCAGCUUGUUGGUGGGGUAGUGGCUUACCAAGGCUUUGACGGGUAGCCGGCCUGAGAGGGUGACCGGCCACAUUGGGACUGAGAUACGGCCCAGACUCCUACGGGAGGCAGCAGUGGGGAAUAUUGCACAAUGGGCGGAAGCCUGAUGCAGCAACGCCGCGUGCGGGAUGACGGCCUUCGGGUUGUAAACCGCUUUCGCCUGUGACGAAGCGUGAGUGACGGUAAUGGGUAAAGAAGCACCGGCUAACUACGUGCUAGCAGCCGCGGUGAUACGUAGGGUGCGAGCGUUGUCCGGAUUUAUUGGGCGUAAAGGGCUCGUAGGUGGUUGAUCGCGUCGGAAGUGUAAUCUUGGGGCUUAACCCUGAGCGUGCUUUCGAUACGGGUUGACUUGAGGAAGGUAGGGGAGAAUGGAAUUCCUGGUGGAGCGGUGGAAUGCGCAGAUAUCAGGAGGAACACCAGUGGCGAAGGCGGUUCUCUGGGCCUUUCCUGACGCUGAGGAGCGAAGGCGUGGGGAGCGAACAGGCUUAGAUACCCUGGUAGUCCACGCUGUAAACGGUGGGUACUAGGUGUGGGGUCCAUUCCACGGGUUCCGUGCCGUAGCUAACGCUUUAAGUACCCCGCCUGGGGAGUACGGCCGCAAGGCUAAAACUCAAAGGAAUUGACGGGGCCCCGCACAAGCGGCGGAGCAUGCGGAUUAAUUCGAUGCAACGCGUAGAACCUUACCUGGGUUUGACAUGGAUCGGGAGUGCUCAGAGAUGGGUGUGCCUCUUUUGGGGUCGGUUCACAGGUGGUGCAUGGCUGUCGUCAGCUCGUGUCGUGAGAUGUUGGGUUAAGUCCCGCAACGAGCGCAACCCUUGUUCACUGUUGCCAGCACGUUAUGGUGGGGACUCAGUGGAGACCGCCGGGGUCAACUCGGAGGAAGGUGGGGAUGACGUCAAGUCAUCAUGCCCCUUAUGUCCAGGGCUUCACGCAUGCUACAAUGGCUGGUACAGAGAGUGGCGAGCCUGUGAGGGUGAGCGAAUCUCGGAAAGCCGGUCUCAGUUCGGAUUGGGGUCUGCAACUCGACCUCAUGAAGUCGGAGUCGCUAGUAAUCGCAGAUCAGCAACGCUGCGGUGAAUACGUUCCCGGGGCU
rnacentral:rRNA from 1 species